rnacentral:rRNA from 1 species
AUUGAACGCUGGCGGCAGGCCUAACACAUGCAAGUCGAGCGAGCGGCGGACGGGUGAGUAAUGUCUGGGAAACUGCCUGAUGGAGGGGGAUAACUACUGGAAACGGUAGCUACUACCGCAUACCAUCAGAUGUGCCCAGAUGGGAUUAGCUGGUAGGUGGGGUAACGGCUCACCUAGGCGACGAUCCCUAGCUGGUCAGAGAGGAUGACCAGCCACACGGGAACAGAGACACGGGCCAGAGGCCUAAGGGAGGCAGCAGUGGGGAAUAUUGCACAAUGGGCGCAAGCCGGAUGCAGCAAUGCAGCGUGUGUGAAGAAGGCCUGCGGGUUGUAAAGCACUGUCAGCGGGGAGGCGUUACCCGCAGAAGAAGCACCGGCUAACUCCGUGCCAGCAGCCGCGGUAAUAC